GUGAGGAAUAUUGGUCAAUGGGCGAGAGCCUGAACCAGCCAAGUAGCGUGCAGGAAGACGGCCCUAUGGGUUGUAAACUGCUUUUAUAUGGGGAUAAAGUGAGCUACGUGUAGUUUAUUGCAGGUACCAUAUGAAUAAGGACCGGCUAAUUCCGUGCCAGCAGCCGCGGUAAUACGGAAGGUCCAGGCGUUAUCCGGAUUUAUUGGGUUUAAAGGGAGCGUAGGCCGCCCCUUAAGCGUGUUGUGAAAUGCCGCGGCUCAACCGUGGCACUGCAGCGCGAACUGGGGGGCUUGAGUGCACGCAACGCAGGCGGAAUUCGUGGUGUAGCGGUGAAAUGCUUAGAUAUCACGAAGAACUCCGAUUGCGAAGGCAGCUUGCGGGAGUGCGACUGACGCUGAAGCUCGAAGGUGCGGGUAUCGAACAGGAUUAGAAACCCUAGUAGUCC
rnacentral:rRNA from 1 species